UCCGCAAGGCCUGGAGACAGCUUUGUUCUCUCUCCAGGAUUCCCCGCGUGUUGUGAGGGCAGAGUGGGGUGGACGGAGGAAAGUAGGAGGCUCCACUUCGACGCUGAUGCCAAACUACGUGCUUCAAUCCAGCUUUGUGCAAAAAACCCUACUUUGGAGCGUAUGGUGCCAUUCUUCUGGACCUCGAGAGGCUGUACCCUUAUACUUGCUCUGGGGAAGAGGGGUUUUUGGCAGGGCGGGAACCAAGCCUUCGUGGACUUAUUGUAACUCCUUGAUACUAGGGAUAUAUCAAUAGCGUGUCAGCUCUAAUCUCUUACAUUUAGUGCGGCCUUUGCUCAUCUUUCCAAGGGCAAUGAACUGCAGGCCAUUCUGUUCCUUAUUCACGUGUUGCCCUUACAUUCAUUUUACAAUUAAUGAAUGAACCAGACACUGUUCGAAGUGCAGGAGAUACAGGAGAGAAGGAAAUAGGCUAAUGUCUCAGUCCUGUGCGGAGUGCACAGUUUGUACCUCUAAAACUUUACUCUUGCUUAUUUUUUCUCUAUAAAAUGCUCUUCUUUGGAAUCUGCUGCUGCCUACAAACACCUUUGCCCUACCUAGUAUAUUUCUACACCUUACUUUAGACUCAGAUAAAGUGCGACUAAAUGUGUGAAAAUAUUCCUUCCCCCAGCUCCUCGGGAGAUUUAGGAUCUACCUAGCCACCAGGCAUGUCUCUGAUACUUCACUUAAUCACGGGGUAUUGUGAAGACUGAAUGAAAAGCGCCUGCUUUAACACCAAGCGCAAAGUGUUUACUUAUUUAUUACCAGCCGAUGUAUGCCUGCCUCCACCCCAAAUGCAAGCGCCAGGAGGGCAGAGACUGGGGCCUGUCCUGUUCUUCAUUACAACAACAGCAAGGUGCCGGGGUGCUUGGUACUCAAUAGACUCUCAAUCGGUGUUCUUCUAGAGAGCGUGGUAACACCCAAUUGAUCGCCUGGACACUGUACUACAUUCACAUGUCAGUUAUCAGUGUAUUGUCUCUCAGCUCCCAAUGUACUAUCCGUGUCUGCUCUGUGGAACUAUUCAGCUCCUGGAAGGAUUUCUCCCUCGCCGCUGGCACCAUGUUAAACACUCCCGGUAGGGGGCGCGGGAGGGACACCGCAGGAGGAAGGGGCCUCUUGCCGGCGCUGUUACGCGUGUUUGGUUCUCUUGCUCCUUCUCUGCGGCCAGAGGCUCUGGCGGUGAAGACACACUGUGGCUCUGGCUUUUAUCAGGUUUCUGUGAUAUGCCUGCUGACGGGUUCCUGGGGAGGCUGAAGGCAUUCUAGCAGGCAGCUCCCCUGCCUCAGCCCACCUGCAUUCUCACCAGGUGCUUCCUUUCCUGUGGCCUCUCCCAACCCUGUUCGGCUUUUGUCUUUCCACCAGCCUUGGCUUCAAGCGUGUAUAGCUCCACUCUGGCCCAGGUCAACUUCUUUACCAUCCUGUAGCCAUCUCAGACUCCAAUGAUAUCUGAGUCCCUCUUGGAGAUAACCCUGGGCACUCCCCUUCCAAGUUUGUGCUUCCUUGGGUACUGUCCCGUGGUUCUGGGGUAUUCUUCAUGGUUCCCUUUCCUUCUUUAUAAUUAAUCAUUCUUUUUGUGAAAUAUUCCCUGUUGGAUUUGCCGCAUGGUUUCCAUCUCCUCAUUGGAUACUGACUGAUACAAUCCAUUAACUGACAGGGUCCACAAAAGUGUGCUUGUGAACAAUUUUCUUGCUUGUUCUUAGCCAUUUUCUCGCCUAUGUGUAGGUAGAAAGUGUAAACAGUUACAAAUGUGGCAACUCGACCUUGUGAAAUAUUACCCAGCGUUUCUCCCCCCAGAUCUUUUUUGUCCUGUGACUGUACCCAUUCGGCCAUUGGAUGGGAGUCCCCUGUUGCCUCAGGGGGGCAGAACUAGAGGACUAAGGUAGUUCAACAUUUUUUGUUCUAAACUCAAGAGCCUCGAUCCAGGUGUAAGUCAGGAAAGAUUUGCUGUUCCAUACCCCGUCCCCCCAACAUGCUACGAAAAUUCUCUAAGCUGGAGUGGGAUAUGAGUGCAAGGAAAGUAAGACAGAUAAGCAUUGGUCUUUUCUAAAAUAAGAAGACGGUAUCUCACCUGACCCUACUUAGGAUUAGCUGCAGAUCCCUGGCUAAGCUGAAGGUGUUCUGAGAGGAGUAGAGUCCUGUGUCAAUCUCCCCUCUGAAAGUUGGAGGCUGACCUUCGUGGAAGUCGCCCUGCCUCUUUCCUGCAGCCCCACCUACAAGGGAUGCCUGCAGGCAGAGGGGGACUGCAAAGCCCUGCCACGCCUCCUGCUGGCUAAGAGAACACAUGGAUUUUUCUAGACGUCCCUUCUUCCUCUGAGGGCUGCAGAAGUUAGCUGAAGGAAAACACCAAAAAGAGAAUCCAGGGAGGGAGAGAGGAAGAGAGAGAGUGAGAGAACAGCCAGCUGUCUCUUUUUAUAGGGACACUAAUUUUAUUAGAUUAGGGUCCCACCUUCAUGACUUCAUUUGAUUCUAAUUACCUUUCUAAAGGCCCUGUUCCAAAUACAGUCGCAUUCGAGGUUAGGGCCUCCACACUUGAAUCUGGGGGCUGGGGGUGCGAUCAUAAUUCAGCCCAUAACAAUGUCUUUCCCUGCUCUCCAGAGUAAGCUCCAUGCUAUGAGCUGCACGUUUGUGUCCCCCUAGAAUUCAUACGUUGAACUCUAACCCUCAAAGGUGAUGGUAUUAGCAGGUGAGACCUUUUGGGAGGUGCUUAACUCAUGCGGAUGGAACCCUCGGGAAUAGGAUUAGUGCUUUUUAUAAAGGAGGCUCCAGAGAGAUCCCUGGACUUAUCCUCCAUGAGAGGAUACAGCAAGAAGCCGGCAGUCUACAAUCCAGAAGAAGCCCUUCACCAGAGCAUGACCAUGCUGGCACUCUGACCUAGGAUUUCCAGCCUCUAGAACUGCCCUGUUCCAAGCACCGUGGAUGCAGGGCUGAGCAAAGGCUCUCCUUCCCCGAGCUGGACUGCCGUGUGCUAUGGAGCCAGCUGUCCCUCUCAAACUCCGCUCAAUGACAUGCUUGUGAGCAAAUGAAUGAUUACUGCUGUUUCAAGCCAGCAGGUUUUGGAGUAGUUGGUCACACCACAAUGGUAACUGGAAUGCUACUUGUGAACCCUACAGAGCUUCUAGCAUUUCAAUCUUAUAUUUAUGUAAGUGUAGGAUUGAUUUUAAUGAGACACUUUUAUCAAAGAUAAGGAAAGGUAUACAUUUUGAAAUUAGAAAAUCGCAAUACUAAUGACAGUAAUAAUGUCCAUAUCUAUCACCUGCCUAUUUCCUUUCAGAUCCACAUAAGCUCUUUUCUAUUCUGCUCUGAAUCCUGCUCCUUGGUAUUUGGCUCCCAGAUAGGUCUGGCCACCCCUCCCAGCCACCACUAUUACUUGUGCCCUAAUUUCUGACAGUGGUGACGAUUCCUCAUUGUCCUACUAUCAGCUGGACAGCCCCUGUCUCAGGGAUGCCACUUUCUGUGUGGUAACUCCCACGGUGGCUCUGGCUCCCACUGACAGCCUGUCUUCUGGGCUCUGAUAAGAUUUUUUCAUUUGCUCCUGCAGAGCCAGGGUGGUACCCCUCACUGAUGUCACUGACCUCUGCGGGGUCCCACCAGCCUGCUUGCCUUCUUAGCUUUACCGGUACUAGUUCCCUUUGUCAUUUCCCUUUGUUUGGAAGACCUAAAGUGGUUCCUGUUUCCUUGCUGUACCUUGAUGGACACCAUCGCUAACAUUUACUGGUGUGUUCUAGGAGUGAGCCUAUUCGGAAGCUACUGUCAGCUCAGUCUUCCAGACGAGGCUGCUGGGGCUCAGAGACGAAGCUGCCCGAGAUCACGCACGCAUGCUCAGUGCUGUUAAGGUCUACAAGAAGUGAAGUGCAAUCAGAAAUUACUUUUUUAAUUAAACUUUAAGUAUUGUGGAAGACUCAAAGGGGCCUUCUGGGGUACGGAAGCAUACUAUUAUUUGAUCUGGGGCUGGUCAGAUGAGUGCUCACUGUGAACACUUACUGCACUGUUCCCGGAUGGGGGCUCUUUUCCGUAUGUUACACUUCAGUGAAAUGUCAGCUCUUGCUCUAGGUAUGUGUCAGUUUUGAGUUCUUCCAAAAUCUUCAUUGAACU